rnacentral:rRNA from 1 species
UGAAGACCUUCGGGUCGUAAACUCCUUUCGAUCGAGACGAAUGGUUUCCGGGUGAACAAUCCGGAAAAGUGACGGUACCGAGAGAAGAAGCCCCGGCUAACUCCGUGC